CGGAACACGUACGCAACCUUCCUUUAACUGGAGAAUAGCCCCUCGAAAGAGGGAUUAAUACUCCGUAAUAUGAUGAUAAGGCAUCUUAUUAUUAUUAUAGCUCCGGCGGUUAGAGAUGGGCGUGCGCCUGAUUAGGUAGUUGGCGGGGUAACGGCCCACCAAGCCUGCGAUCAGUAACUGGUGUGAGAGCACGACCAGUCACACGGGCACUGAGACACGGGCCCG
rnacentral:rRNA from 1 species